GGCGCGGUGGUGCAGUGGUUAGGACUAUGACCUCACAAUACGAAGGUUCAGGGUUUGAUUCUUUAGCUGUGUCC